rnacentral:misc_RNA from 1 species
UCCGAGUUGACCCCGGCAGUAUCCCAUGAGUUCCCACCAUUACGUGCUGGCAACAUAGGACGAGGGUUGCGCUCGUUGCGGGACUUAACCCAACAUCUCACGACACGAGCUGACGACAACCAUGCACCACCUGUAUACGAGUGUCCAAAGAGUUCACUGUCUCCAGUGCGUUCUCGUAUAUGUCAAGCCUUGGUAAGGUUCUUCGCGUUGCAUCGAAUUAAUCCGCAUGCUCCGCCGCUUGUGCGGGCCCCCGUCAAUUCCUUUGAGUUUUAGCCUUGCGGCCGUACUCCCCAGGCGGGGAACUUAAUGCGUUAGCUACGGCACGGAACCCGUGGAAUGGAUCCCACACCUAGCGCCCAACGUUUACGGUGUGGACUAC